AUUGUGUCUGAGUUUCCUCACUGAAUGAAUCUCACAGAUGAUCUCUCAGAGCUGAGUUUCCUGGGUUUACAGAUCCUUAAGGAAAAUUCAUUUCUGCUCCUUCCUAUGGAAGACUUGCCUUUCCAAUAGCUGUGAGGUGCAACAUUAUUGCCAUGUGCACUAGAAGUCCUGCCAUCCAAGCUGGAAAAGGAAGAAACAUAGUUGGAGGAAAACCCCAAAUGGAUAAAGCAAUCUGCAGAGCCUAACUAUUUUACCGAUGCCCUAAUUUCUAACUUCCAGAAUAUACAUUUUUAUUUUUGAAAAGCAAACUUUGCUGCUUGAAUCUAGUUUGGAUCUAGGUGGUUUGGGGCAGCCUGCCAGGCUCACAGAUUAAGUGAAAGUCAUUACAAAAUGUUUUUACGCACAUGGGAAUCACAGGGAUUGUUUGGUGCUAGUUUGGCUCUCCACCAUUAAUUUUAAUUAUCUCAAAAUGCAAACAUGCUGAAAUUUCCAGCAGAUGACAUUAUUUUCUCCUUGACAUCAGACAUAAAAGGAAGAAAAAUAAACAUACGACAGUGACAACAUUAAGCUGCUCACAGUGAAGGACCCUGAGAGGGCAGAGCCAUGUGAUGGAAUGAGCCAUGAUCCCUGAGUCCUCACCUCAGGGAGAGAUGUGCAGAAGAGCCACCCAAGUGGUGAUGUGCUGGCUGCUUUUAGGCAACCAACGUGAUGUCACUGAACACAGUUUGGAAUGGAUGCACAUAAUCAGUUCUCAUGAUCCAGGAUGAACCAGCCCUAGCAUACCACUGCCCCUAACCCACAUAUAACUGUGUCAUCAUUUAAAAAUAAACAUAUUGGGUUAAGCCUUUGAGAUUU
rnacentral:lncRNA from 1 species